AGAAGAGAGAAGAAGAAGAGAGAAAAGGAAGAGCCCCUCGAUACGAGGAGAAGAAAGAGAGAACAGUACGAAGACAGUGGUCAAGAGGAUGCCCCUCUAAUAAAAUCAAUGAAGAUGGGUGGCGAUCAGUUAGAGAAAAUGAUGGCGCAGCCACUACAAGUAACAUCUUCGAAAGAAGAAUUCAAAAAAAUAAAACUGGCAUUGCAGGAGAUAAAUGUAAACAUAUAUAAUCUCCUACAAAAUAUACCCUAUUAAAAAUGUGUAUAUAAGUUAUCUAAUAAAUUGUGUCUUGAUGU